GAAAGACUCUCGGCAACGGAUAUCUCGGCUCUUGCAUCGAUGAAGAACGCAGC
rnacentral:rRNA from 1 species